rnacentral:rRNA from 1 species
CCCUUAGAUGUUCUGGGCCGCACGCGCGCUACACUGAUGCAUUCAACGAGUUUCUUCCUGGUCCGAGAGGAAUGGGUAACCUUUUGAAAGUGCAUCGUGAUAGGGAUAGACUAUUGCAAUUAUUUGUCUUCAACGAGGAAUUCCUAGUAGACGUAGUUCAUCAGACUGCAUCGAUUACGUCCCUGCCCUUUGUACACACCGCCCGUCGCUCCUACCGAUUGGGUGUGCUGGUGAAAUGUUCGGAUCGGCCGUUUGUCGCGGUUUCCGCGUCAUGUGGCUGAGAAGUUCAUUAAACCCUCCCACCUAGAGGAAGGAGAAGUCGUAACA